GACGAACGCUGGCGGCGUGCCUAAUACAUGCAAGUCGAGCGGACAGAUGGGAGCUUGCUCCCUGAUGUUAGCGGCGGACGGGUGAGUAACACGUGGGUAACCUGCCUGUAAGACUGGGAUAACUCCGGGAAACCGGGGCUAAUACCGGAUGGUUGUUUGAACCGCAUGGUUCAAACAUAAAAGGUGGCUUCGGCUACCACUUACAGAUGGACCCGCGGCGCAUUAGCUAGUUGGUGAGGUAACGGCUCACCAAGGCAACGAUGCGUAGCCGACCUGAGAGGGUGAUCGGCCACACUGGGACUGAGACACGGCCCAGACUCCUACGGGAGGCAGCAGUAGGGAAUCUUCCGCAAUGGACGAAAGCCUGACGGAGCAACGCCGCGUGAGUGAUGAAGGUUUUCGGAUCGUAAAGCUCUGUUGUUAGGGAAGAAC
rnacentral:rRNA from 1 species